AUACGAAGGUGGCAAGCGUUACUCGGAAUGACUAGGCGUAAAGGGCAGGUAGGUGGUCUGAUAAGUCUGUUGUGAAAGCUCCCGGCUCAACUGGGAGAGGCCAACAGAUACUGUCAGGCUUGAGUAUAGGAGAGGUAUCUGGAAUUCCCGGUGUAGCGGUGAAAUGCGCAGAGAUCGGGAGGAACACCAAUGGCGAAAGCAAGAUACUGGAAUAUUACUGACACUCAGCUGCGAAAGCUAGGGGAGCAAACAGGAUUAGAAACCCCAGUAGUCC
rnacentral:rRNA from 1 species